UAGAUAAUAUUAUUUUUCUUCUUGCUUCUCGAAAAUAUUUAUAAAUUAAUUUGACACGUCAUAUUAAAAAGAAAAAACGAAAUAUAGAAAUUAAUAUUGGAUUUUCCUUGGCAAAACUGAUAAACUAAAUUGUAGUUGCGUGUUUGCAUCACCGUUAGUGACAAUGCUCGACGAGUCAAACGAUCGAAAUGUGUCCGAACUCUCGUGCUAUUAAUUUCUCAUCGGAGUAAAUGAAAUACGCGUUGCAUUCGACAGAACGUAAUUUACGGACUGGAAUUAAUGCGCCUCGCGAAAGCUAAGGUCCCACACCUUUGUUAUUUAAUCGCGCUACACCGUUUCCACGCUAAUAGAUUUCACCUUCGACGUUCCAUUUCGGAUCUGAUCUAUAUUUGCAUACGCGUGCACCACCGUGCAUAACUCACGAUGCGAGCGUUACACGUCCAUUUUCUUUUCCGCGAGAAUUCACUUUGGAAUACACACAACACGCUCGAUCGAUAUUGUUCC